AUUAUUGAAAUAUUAUAUUAUGAUUAAUUAUUAUUAUUCUUAUUAUAUUAUUAUUAAUUAUUAUUAAUUAUUAAUUAUUAUUAUUAAUAAAUAUUAUUAAUAUUAUUAUUAAUUAAUAAUAUUAUUGCUGAUGCUGAAUUUAUGCUGAGGAAUAAAUGUGUAUCUUAAAAAGAGAGAGCGAAUCUAGGAAAAAAUUAUCUUAAAAUGAUUUAUUCCUUGUGAAUUUGUGCACAUUCUAUAGAAUGUUACAAAAAAUAUUUCGAGGGAAUAAAUCUCUUAUCGAAGAAUGGUAGGCAAUUGAAAAUUAUAAUAAUUUAUAUAUGUGGGGAGGAACAGUUUGUUGAUAAUUUUUGUGGAUAGGUGAAGUAAAUAGUGAAUAAAAUAAAAAAGGAAAAAAAAAAAUUUUGAAAGGUUGUUGUUGUAAAUAAUAAAUGGACAAUUGUAAGUGAAGUGAUGGAUAAAAGAAAAAAAAAGAAAUAAAUGAAAGAGGACCUGUUGAGAGAAUCUUUUUUUGUGAGAAAAUAAUUCACAAAAGAAGAGGGAGGAUAUAAAAGAAAAAAAAUGAAUAAAAAGAAAACACAAUUUUUUUGCGAUACUGUUUAUCUCGUCGCUGCGAAUCGCUGAAUAUAUGUGUAUAUAAAUAUAUAAAUAUGUAGAUAUUAUAUAUUUAUAUAUAUAUGUAUGUAUAAAUAUAUACAUGUAUAAAUAAACAAAAAAUAAUGCUAAGAAUUCAGAGAAAAAAAAAUAAACACAUACACACGCGUAAACAUUAUAUAAAAAUCAUAUCUAUAUAAAAAAAUAAAAAAAAACGAACUCCAUUUGUAGUCUUUUUUUUUGAAAAAUGAUUUCCGUAAUUUCCAAGUUUUCCUCCAACGAAAGCAAGUGUUUGUUGCUUCAAAAGAAACCUUUCCUUUGUAUUUUACAUUCUUUUGUAAAGAAGUAUUUCUAAUAUUAUUUUUUUCAGGAUUUUUUUUUUAUUAUGUACGAUAAGAAAAAUUACAGAUUUAUAGAAAGGAGAAGAAAUUUGCCAUACAAAUAGGAAAUAAGUUUUAUUUACAUGAAGAGAAAAUUGAUUCAGGACUAUUUUACUUAUUGUUUGCGAAAGGGAAACAAGAAGCAAACGCGACAAAUCACUGGCGAAAAUUUUUCAAUGGAACGUGAAACAUGGAAAUAAUUUUAUUAAUGAAGAAACAAUUGAUUGAAGACUAUUUUACUUAAUUGUUCAAGGAAGGGAGACAACAAGAAGAAGAAGCAACAAAUCAGAUGAAUUUUUAUCAGUGGAAAAAAUUAGUUUUCAAUGGAUCGUGCUAUAUGAAAACAAUUCUAUGAGAUUUAUUCUUCGUGAUGCAGAAAUUAAUUUCCAUCUUUUGUGGAUGAAAUACGAAGAAACCACAGGAGUGGAAAAGAAUUAUUUUCCAUGAUAGAAAAUUCGCUGGAAGGAGACGAAGUAAUUUUAUUUCUUUUCUGGGAUGGUCACUUUUUUUACAGCGAUGACUAAAAAUUAAAAAGCCAAUGAUGAAGCGGAGAAGAAACAAAGGAAAAAAAGAAAAAAAAGAAUAGAAGCACAAAAAAUCAAAACAAAAUUUAUUGUGAUGUCCAUUUCUCUUUAGUUACGAGAAGAAAUAGAACUCUGACAGUCGGGAAAUAACUUGAAAGCAUCACAAUCUUAUCUUCUUAAAGAGGAUAAAAAAAUUGAUUGGAAGAAGACGAAGUAAUUUUGUUCCCUUUCUGAGAUGGUCAAUUUUUUACAGAGAUGACUCUAAAAGUUAAAAAGCUAUUAAUAGAGAAAAAGAAGAAGAACAAUAAGGAGAAAAAUGUUUAAAAAUCAAGGAAAAAUUUAUUAUGAUGACAAAUCCUUUUUCGUUAAGAGGAGAAAUUAAUCUCUGGAAGUUUACUGCAAACAUCAUCUUAUCUUCCUAAAGGGGGAUAUAAAAAGAAAUUUGUUGACACUCAUAAGAAAUGAAGUUUCUUCUGAUCUGAACAUAUUUUUUAAACCAACAACUCUAAAAAUGAAAAAGAUUGAAAAAAUGGAUUGAGGAAGAAAAGUUAAUUUUACAUCGACGUUUUUUUAGUGUUUCAAGAAGGCAGUCUCAAAGCAACGCAAAUGAUAAUGGCUCUGGAAAAUCAAAUUCUGGAAUUCGUUUUGUACUCAAGGAUUUAAUUUACUUGAGGGAAAAUGAAGAAAUGCCGAGAAGAAAUCUUAAGACUGAAGAUCAACAUCAAAAGAAAGCAUUGAGAAAGAAGAAAAACCGAAUAGAAAAGUAAUAAUUAGUUAAGUAAGGUAAACGAUAAUUAAUUUUUUUAAUUUACUUUUAUUCAUAUUAUUAUUUAGUAUUAUUUAUUUUAUAAACAUUUAGUUUUCAAUACUGUUUGAAACUUUAUAAUUUUUGUAAUAAAACAAAAAAAAAAUA